UACGAAGGGGGCUAGCGUUGCUCGGAAUCACUGGGCGUAAAGCGCACGUAGGCGGAUUGUUAAGUCGGGGGUGAAAUCCUGGAGCUCAACUCCAGAACUGCCUUCGAUACUGGCGAUCUUGAGUCCGGGAGAGGUGAGUGGAACUCCGAGUGUAGAGGUGAAAUUCGUAGAUAUUCGGAAGAACACCAGUGGCGAAGGCGGCUCACUGGCCCGAUACUGACGCUGAGGCACGAAAGCGUGGGGGAGCAAACAGGAUUAG
rnacentral:rRNA from 1 species